UAAUUUAAAAAAAAAAAAAAAAAAAAAAAAAAAAAAAAAAAAAAAAUAUUGAAAUUAUGUUUGUUUUUUUAAAGGUCCAAAGCUCCAGCCUGACGGGGGCAAUGGUGCCUGGGCCUGCUGUGCACAUGCACUGGGCCUGCUGUGCCCACGCGCAUGCACCCAAGCUGGGGUGGGAGUCCUGGCACACUACCAUCCCACGGUGGGAUCAGAGUCUUGCAACCCUACCAGACUCGGAUCCCCCUACCAAAGGCACACAGCUCUUGUCUCCUUACCAGAGGCACGGGUAUGUUGGGGGCGCGGAUUGCUUGGUUCAUCCGCGGAGGGGUGCUUAAGUGUGGGGUGCCAGGGUUCGAGAGGUGGGCCUGGUCCUGGAGGUGGGCCUGGUCCUGGAGGUGUGUGAGUGAGUUUUGGUUGAGGCAAAAUUGGCUCAAGUUUACACAGGGCCCGGUGCCUGAAACCUGGGUACACUUGGCUGAAAGUUCAGAUCUGGCUGUGAAAUGUUAAGAAUCAGCGCAUGUGAUGCAGCACAGCCAAAUUAGACUGGAGCAUGCGGUCUAGAAAUGCCCAUGUGGAGGCACUCAAAGCUGGGAAAGGGGGUCCCAGCAGGUUUCCCUUAUUCUGUGGUCAUCCACAGCUGGCAGGGUUGACUCGGGCCGCGCUAGACCGCUUCGCUGGCUGCCAAA